AACGAGUUAUCUGAACCUUCGGGGGACGAUAACGGCGUCGAGCGGCGGACGGGUGAGUAAUGCCUAGGAAAUUGCCCUGAUGUGGGGGAUAACCAUUGGAAACGAUGGCUAAUACCGCAUAAUGCCUACGGGCCAAAGAGGGGGACCUUCGGGCCUCUCGCGUCAGGAUAUGCCUAGGUGGGAUUAGCUAGUUGGUGAGGUAAUGGCUCACCAAGGCGACGAUCCCUAGCUGGUCUGAGAGGAUGAUCAGCCACACUGGAACUGAGACACGGUCCAGACUCCUACGGGAGGCAGCAGUGGGGAAUAUUGCACAAUGGGCGCAAGCCUGAUGCAGCCAUGCCGCGUGUGUGAAGAAGGCCUUCGGGUUGUAAAGCACUUUCAGUCGUGAGGAAGGUGGUGUAGUUAAUAGCUGCAUUAUUUGACGUUAGCGACAGAAGAAGCACCGGCUAACUCCGUGCCAGCAGCCGCGGUAAUACGGAGGGUGCGAGCGUUAAUCGGAAUUACUGGGCGUAAAGCGCAUGCAGGUGGUUUGUUAAGUCAGAUGUGAAAGCCCGGGGCUCAACCUCGGAAUAGCAUUUGAAACUGGCAGACUAGAGUACUGUAGAGGGGGGUAGAAUUUCAGGUGUAGCGGUGAAAUGCGUA
rnacentral:rRNA from 1 species